UUUUUGCGUUAAGGAGUGCAUUGAAAAUUUUUUUGAGCUUGCUUUUUUGCAAGGUAAAAAAGAUUGUAACGGAAAGCCUGACCUUGC
rnacentral:sRNA from 1 species